UACGUAGGGUGCAGGCGUUAAUCGGAAUUACUGGGCGUAAAGCGUGCGCAGGCGGCUUCUCAAGUCAGAUGUGAAAUCCCCGGGCUUAACCUGGGAACUGCGUUUGAAACUACAAGGCUAGAGUGUGGCAGAGGGGGGUGGAAUUCCACGUGUAGCAGUGAAAUGCGUAGAGAUGUGGAGGAACACCGAUGGCGAAGGCAGCCCCCUGGGUUAACACUGACGCUCAGGCACGAAAGCGUGGGGAGCAAACAGG
rnacentral:rRNA from 1 species